ACUCAACCCGCCAAAUGGACUCGGAGCGGCAAAAAAAUCCCCCAUUUUUCCACAGAUUUUGGCAAACAAGCAAGAAUGGAGACUCGGACAACCAGAAGAUAGAGAAGAUUGAUGAAAAAUGGUUCCUUAGUUCAGAAACAUAUCAUCCCAGACAUCGUAAACGCCCGUAGGCAACUAAAAACUAUUUCCAAAUCAGACCUGGUGAAGCAAGGCCAUCUCUACAUAUUGCACACCAAAAAUCAGAUAGUUGUGUUCAAUUAGAAGAUCAAGAUGUGUCUGGAGUUGUCAUUGGUGAAGUCCAAAGAAC